GUUACUAACUCAGUAUCUCCUCUUUCCUGUAGUAUUGUGCUCUUCCGUCUCUCUCUCCUCUUCUGUCUCUUUCUGCAGGUAUUUCUUCCUCUGGAGCUGUAGAGUCUGAUCUGUGAUGACAAGUCCCCUGCUGCUCCUACAACUCCACUCAACACCUGCUGCUAGAAUUAGAAAUUACUUAUACUGCUAUUAGUUGUAUUGCUGUGUUAGCAGUUAAUACUUUAAUUAUCACUACUAUCACUACUACUGUUGUAUUACUGGCCUCAUCUUACAUCUGAUAUGGAACCUGUGUUAUGCUAUGUUCUUCUUUCGCUAUUCCCUACCCCCUCUCCCUCCUCUCCCCCUCUCUCUCCUUCUUAACCCAACCGGUCGAGGCAGAUGGCCGCCCACCCUGAGUCCGGUUCUGCUCGAGGUUUCUGCCUCUUAAAAGGAAGUUUUUCCUUGCCACUGUCGCCUAGUGCUUGCUCUUGGUGGGAUUUGUUGGGUCUCUCUCUGUAAAUACCUAUUUUAAAGAGUAUGGUCUAGACCUGCUCUAUAUGAAAAGUGCCUUGAGAUGACUGUUGUUGUGAUAUGGCGCUAUAUAAAUAAAAUUGAAUUGAAUUGAAUUGAA